GCAGAGGAACGGUCUAUCGCUCAUCAUCGGGGAGACUUGAUAUUGAGAGGAAAGUCCGGGCAACGCAGAGCGUCACAUUUCUUAACGGGAAGUUGCGGGUGACCGCAAGGUUAAGGUGACAGAAAACAACCGCCACGCUUCUUGUGUGGUAAGGGUGAAAAGGCGAGGUAAGAGCUCACCGGACGCAGUGGCGACAUUGCGUGCCGCACCACCUGUGAGUUGCAAGGUCAAGUAUAUCGGCAUUUAAGGGCUGCUCGUCCAUUGCCGAGGGGUAGACUGCUAUAUCGUAUCGGUAACGGUACGGACAGAUAAAUGAUAGACAUCUGCAUUUUGCAGACACAUAACCCGGCUUAUAGAUCCUCUGCCAUU
rnacentral:RNase_P_RNA from 1 species